AGCCAAGUCGAAUCAGAUCCUAAUUGCCAUGUGUUUCCGCUGCCCCAGCGUCCUGUGGCCGUCUCUGAUUCCUCUGCUGUGGCAGUUUGAGAGGCAUUGUUCACACUUAGCUGUUUGUGGUCUGCCAACCAUUGCCCAAACAGAAGAGGAGCAGCACCUGUCAUCUCCCCAGACCCAGUGACUCCAGUGUUUCAGAGUUUAUUUUUUAAGGGGAGGUCAUUUUGGUCCCCUUAACACUCAGCAAGAGCCCUUGAUUUGAAGCUGUAGACACUACCUUCAGCGAGAAAGCCCCAUGGCAUCGUCAUGCUGGGAACCAGGAGAGCAAGGGGGCCUGGUUGCCCCAUCCCAGCGUGGCAGGGGAGAGGCUGGGAGCUGUCAACUCCUGGCACGGCAGCCACGGCCUCGUCGCUAGCAGUGAUUGCCAUGUACUGAUGCUUGGCCCAUCUGAAGUCCUCCAAGAACUCCAUCACUAUUGUCCUUAUUUCACCGAGAAGAUUCGCACCUUGCCCACAGUAGGACGUGAUACCAUGAGAAAACCUGAUUUUCUAGAGGAAAUGCAGAAGGAGGACUGCUGCCUUGAGGAAGAGUUACAGAGAGAGAAAGAGAGGGAGAGAAAGAGAGAGAGAGAGAAUGUUCCAUCUGCUGGUUCACUCCCCAAGUGGCCACAACACCUGGGGCUAGACCGGGCCAAAGCCAGGAGCCAGGAGCCAGGAACCAGGAGCUUCUUCCAGGGCUCCCACUUGGAUGCAGGAUCCCAAGCACUUGGGCCAUCUUCCACUGCUUUCUCAGGCCAUAGCAGGCAGUUGGAUCAGAAGUGGAGCAGCUGGGACAUAAACCAGUUCCCACAUGGGGUGCUGACAUCGCAGGAGGCAGCUUAACCUGCUAAGCCACAGUGCUGCCCCAAGAUGAGGUAUAUUAAUGCACAGCUUUGCUUGCUUCCUUUCACACAGUCAAGAAUAGGCAUUUUCUAGGCCUGAUCUAGUUUUUGCAGGGAAAUUGCUCAAUAAAAGGGUACUUGAAAAAGUGUGUGCACAAACGGAAUUAAAAGAUGUUUAAUUUGGAACUAA